rnacentral:lncRNA from 1 species
AAAAAAUUUAUGUUUUCCUUCGUUCCACUCAUCAUCCCAGUUAGGCUUGGCUGCAGCGGUCCUCAGACCCUCCUUUUCAGCAGUUGCCCCUCUGGUUCAGGGAGCUCGCGUGUCACUGGCAGUCAGGUCCGCCGUCAGCACUCACUCCCAGCAGUGUCGGGGAGAAGAUAAAGUGUCUGGGACUGCAGUGCUCUGAGGAUCUCUUCCCACUGCGUUAGUGUACAUGGCACCGACAGCUUGUCUAGGCUAAAGUAUCCAUAGUUCCUUCCUUCCUUCAACAACCAGUUACUAAAUGUGAACGUUACAAGUUCCUCGAGGGCGAAUCCUCAUAACUCAGCAAAUAUUUAUUAGUUGCUGAAUUCCUGGGUGCUGGGGUGAGAGCAUUUAAAUAAGGAAAGGGAACCUGCCCGCAGGCCACUUCCCCAAUAGUGAUUGAUAGGCAACUGACAUGUAACAAACAAGACCUUUCACCUCUGAACCUGUGACGUGAUAGACAGUGACCUGAACUGGUAGGGAUGGUGAGUUGUGCCCUGGAAGAUGCCUGCCAUGUGAAGAUCUAGGAAAAGAACAUCCCUGGCUGAAGAGAGAGCAGAUGCAAAGGCCCCUGAGAGGGAACCAGCUCAGAGGCUUUGAACAGCAGAAGAACCCCUUUCCAGUGAAGCUGCUUUUUCUCCUGUCAGGAUUGCAGUUUAAAAGAAAGCCUACUUGCCUGAAAUUCCAUGUUGCUAAGCAGCCAUUUCAAAUCCUUUCUGAAGUUAUAUAAAUAUCUAUAUAUAUCACAUGACGAGAUUUAUUAUAAUGAAUUGGCUCACACAAUUAUGGAGGCUGGAAAGUCCAGAAUCUCCACAGCUGAUGUCCCGGUUUGAGUCUGAAGGCCAGAAGCUGCUAUAGAGCUGGGAAGAGCUGCUGUCCAGUGCAAAGCCCAUCAGGCAGGAGAAUUCUCUCUCCCUUGGGGGAGGUCAGCCUGUUGUUCUAAUCAGGCCUUUGACUGUUUGGACGAGGCCCACUCACCUUAGGGAGGGCAGUCUGCUUUACUCAAGUCCACCAAUUUAACUAUUAAUCUCAUCCAAAUAUGUCCUCACAGAAACACCCAGAAUAACAUUUGACCAAGUAUCUGGGCACCUGCUGGUCCAGUCUAGUUGAUGCAUGUAGUUAACCCGUCACAGGCAGCUCUUGCUUUCUCAGGAACUACACACACCUGGGCUUGGGCUGCUUUGUUGUUUGAUAUACACAGAAGUUGAACCAAAAGAAAAAGGACUGAAAUCUCAGUUGAGCGCU